rnacentral:lncRNA from 1 species
UUACUUUAUGCUUUGAUGUUUGUGAACUCUAUCCACCCAACUUCUGGGCAAACAUUCAUCUGACUUCCCUUAUAGUCACAGAACAAGAACAAUAAAAAUAAGAAGAAAGAUUUUU